GUAAAAUUUUAAUAAAGCAAAUGGCGGAUGCCUUGGUUGCUAAAGCCGAAGAAGGACGCGGAAGACUGCGAAAAUUGUUGGGGAGUCGUCAACAGACUUUGAUCCAACGAUAUCCUAAUGGGGAAACCCCGGUCUGAGAAAUUAGACUGAUCCCGACGCAAGUUGAGGAGGGUAAGUCAGGGAACUGAAACAUCUAAGUACCUGGAAGAAAAGAAAUCGUAAGAGAUUCCGUUAGUAGCGGUGAGCGAAACCGGAAGAGCCUAAAUCCCGAUUUAUCGGGAGGUUGCAGGGUCUGAUAUAAGAAUAGGAAAAAUUAGAAAAACACUCUGGAAUGAGUGACCAAAGAAGGUGAAAGUCCUGUAUUUUAAAAUUGAGUACUGUUUGAUUAGAUACCUAAGUACCACAGGACACGUGAAAUGUUGUGGGAAUCUAGGGAGACCAAUCCCUAAGGCUAAAUACUUUAGCGGACCGAUAGUGAACUAGUACCGUGAGGGAAAGGUGAAAAACACCCUAAGUAAGGGAAUGAAAUAGAUCUGAAACCAUUUGCUAACAAACAGACAAAGCUGGUGCUUCGCACCCGCAGUUUAUAAAGUUGAAAGUUUUUCUCCCGAUAUCGACUGAUUGUCAAUUGGGAUUAGAUUUUAAGGCAAAAUUGUGUCAUUUUAUUCCAAAUUUUGACCUAAAAAUCUUAAAAGUUUAUAAAGUAAAUACAAAAAUACUUUAUGAACUUUAUAACUUGAUAGACUUUUGAACUUCGAGCGCGGAGCGCGAGUGAUGUCGUGCCUAUUGAAGAAUGAGCCUGUGAGUGUUUCUAGUCAUCAAGUUUAAGUCUGAUAAUCAGACGGAGGCGUAGCGAAAGCGAGUGCGAAAAGCGCGAUUAGAUGGCUGGAUAUGACCCGAAACCAGUUGAGCUAACCUUGAGCAGGGUGAAUUCUGGUGAAAGCCAGGAGGAGGCCCGAACCGGUUACUGCUGCAAAAGUAUCGGAUGACUUGAGGUUAGGGGUAAUAUGCCAAUCGAAACUGGAGAUAGCUGGUUCUCUCCGAAAUAUAUAUAGGUAUAGCGUCAAGUGUUGAGAUGCGGGGGUAAAGCUACUGGAUGAAUGUUUGUGGAGCAAUC
rnacentral:rRNA from 1 species